GGACUUUUCAUACAACCACAGGCUGCUGUUAAAAGUCUUUAUGGGGUCUCUGUUACCUUUGGGCUGGAUGGGAGGUGGAGGUGUCGUGUAGUUCAGUCUUUAUUCUCAGACUAACGCAGUCCUGCAGGCCUUCGCUCCGCCGGGACGGGACACAGGUUUUCUGUGACGUUCCACUCACACAGGGGACAUGAACAAAUACAAAUGAGUGAUUGGUCAGGUGGAGAUCAACAUGAAGGAAAUUGUGUGCAAAGGGAAGGGGCUGGACUGUUGCCUCGUAUAACAAAGAAAGUUCCAUCGUGAUCCACCAGAGGGAAGGGACUGCGCCUUCUGUACAGCGUUUAAGGGAAACACUUACCUUAAGGGAAACACUUACCUUCAAACGCUUUUGUCCUCCCUCCUUCCAGCUGCUGUUCAACAUCUGGCUUUGUGCUUGAGAAGCUCUUUUGGAAAAGGUUAUUUUUUUAUACAACAAUAAAUGUCAAACUUCCAUUUUCUCAGCUCGUCUGCAGAAUAUCAAGAACCAUGAUUCAUAAAGCCCGGUCUCUUGUUUGUCUUCUGCAGAGACAGUUUCCAGAGCAACCUUUGUGAUGUUCCAUGUGUGCAGGGUGUUUAUCUUCACGGUCAAAUUGCAUAUUUUCUACUCUCAAAUGCUGUUUCUAUUUUAAGAUGUUUCAAAUGUUUGAAUUGUUCAUUUCUACUCUUUUAUUUCUAAUUUGGUUUUUUAUGCGGCUGCAAUGAAAACA